rnacentral:rRNA from 1 species
AUUCANUGGUGGCUCAGGAAAGGACUCAAAACGGUGUCCCUAUAAAUUAGCGGCGGACNACCUGAUUAACACAUGUAACCUGCCCAUAAGACUGGGAUAACUCCCGGAAACCGGGGCUAAUACCGGAUAACAUUUUGAACCGCGGGUUCGAAAUUGAAAGGCGGCUUCGGCUGUCACUUAUGGAUGGACCCGCGUCGCAUUANCUAUUUGGNGAGGUAACGCCUCACCAAGGCAACGAUGCGUACCCCACCUGAGAGGGGGAUCGGCCACACUGGGACUGAGACACGGCCCAAACUCCUACGGGAGGCAGCAGUAGGGAAUCUUCCCCAAUGGACGAAAGUCUGACGGANCACCGCCGCGCGAGUGAUGAAGGCUUUCGGGUCGUAAAACUCUGUUGUUAGGGAAAAACAAGUGCUAGUUGAAUAAGCUGGCACCUUGACGGUACCUAACCAAAAAGCCACGGCUAACUACUUGCCAGCAGCCGCGGUAAUACUUAGGUGGCAAGCGUUUUCCGGAAUUAUUGGGCGUAAAGCGCGCGCAGGUGGUUUCUUAANUCUGAUGUGAAAGCCCACGGCUCACCCGUGGAGGGUCAUUGGAAACUGGGACACUUGAGUGCAAANAGGAAAGUGGAAUUCCAUGUGUAGCGGUGAAAUGCGUAGAGAUUGGAGGAACACCAGUGGCGAAGGCGACUUUCUGGUCUGUAACUGACACUGAGGCGCGAAAGCGUGGGGACAAACAGGAUUAGAUACCCCGGUAGUCCACGCCGUAACGAUGAGUGCUAAGUGUGAGAGGGUUUCCGCCCUUUAGUGCUGAAGUUAACGCAUUAAGCACUCCGCCUGGGGAGUACGGCCGCAAGGCUGAAACUCAAAGAUUUGACGGGGGCCCGCACAAGCGGUGGAGCAUGUGGUUUUAAUUCAAGCAACGCAAAGAACCUUACCAGGUCUUUG